rnacentral:rRNA from 1 species
CCGCUCAGAACUUAAAGGAAUUGACGGGGCCGCACAAGCGUGGAGCAUGUGGUUUAAUUCGAUGAUACGCGAGGAACCUUACCUGGGCUCAAAUGUAUGUUGACGUAUUCUGAAAGGGAUACUUCUUCGGACAAUAUACAAGGUGCUGCAUGGUUGUCGUCAGCUCGUGCCGUGAGGUGUCGGGUUAAGUCCCAUAACGAGCGCAGCCCCUAUCAUUAGUUGCCAUCAGGUCAAGCUGGGGACUCUAAUGAAACUGCCUACGCAAGUAGUGAGGAAGGUGGGGAUGACGUCAAAUCAGCACGGCCCUUACGUCCAGGGCUACACACGUGCUACAAUGGCCGGUACAAAGGGCAGCUACCUGGUGACAGGAUGCUAAUCUCAAAAGCCGGUCUCAGUUCGGAUCGGAGUCUGCAACCCGACUCCGUGAAGCUGGAAUCGCUAGUAAUCGCGCAUCAGCCAUGGCGCGGUGAAUACGUUCCCGGGCCUU